rnacentral:rRNA from 1 species
CGGACGGGUGAGUAACACGUGAGCAACCUGCCUUUCAGAGGGGGAUAACAGCCGGAAACGGCUGCUAAUACCGCAUGAUGUUGCGGGGGCACAUGCCCCUGCAACCAAAGGAGCAAUCCGCUGAAAGAUGGGCUCGCGUCCGAUUAGCCAGUUGGCGGGGUAACGGCCCACCAAAGCGACGAUCGGUAGCCGGACUGAGAGGUUGAACGGCCACAUUGGGACUGAGACACGGCCCAGACUCCUACGGGAGGCAGCAUG